GCAGUACAGCACAUGUGGCUUGGCCCAGACAAUCUCCUCACUACACACUGGACUCCCCAGCCUCAGGCGAGAAGAAGGAUUUUUGGUGGAAAGGACAAGGUCAGAAGAACAGGUCCCACUCAGGUUAGAGCCCUUUUUAGCCCGUACCUUACCAUUGCUUGGCCUCCCCAAGAACCUGCAGGGUAGGCUGGAUGAAAAGCAGGGAUAGGCUCUUGCUUUCUUUUCCCCAGUAUCAUCAAGGUCAAGUUCAAUUUCAUAAAUUUGUAUUUUCACAAUGUUUUAAUUGUCAUUUCAUUUUUUUCUAGGCUUACAAUUUUGAUGAUUUUUUCAUAGCAAGGCGAGUGUGUGGACUUUAAGGCCGGAGAGCCCCAGGGCUUGGAGAGUUCGGCCUGGCACAGCUUUGAGAAUGAGGAUGUUAUAGUAAUAACCACUACUCUUUACUGGUCUCUUGCUACAUGCCUGGCAGAGAGCGGCAAGAGGGAAAGGGAACGGUGCAUGGCGGAACAAAGAGGAGCUGGUGACAGACAAGGAGCAUGGUCACCAAACUUAGAAGCCACCUCCUGUUCUAAAUGGUCUGAUGGGAAGAUUUCUAUGUUUGGUGACUAAUCACAGAUGGAUUGAGACAAUUCGUUCCCAUUGAGCUGCUUACGAACAAGCACAAUUAGAAGUUGACAACAAACACGCUUCACAAAAAUUAUCACAUUUAGUGUGAUUCCCAUAAUAAAAACAGGAGCAAGCACAGGAGUCUUUUCAAUUUACACAAAGAGCCCUGGGGUCUCUCAACAGUCACUGCCAAUCCGAU